GCUUGUCUCAAAGAUUAAGCCAUGCAUGUCUAAGUUUAAAUAGAAAACAGUGAAACUGCGAAUGGCUCAUUAAAUAAUUUUGCAUAUACAAGAUAGUCAACUCUACUUGGAUAACCGUAGUAAUUCUAGAGCUAAUACAUGCAAAAAAACCCAGACUUACGAAUGGGUGCACUUAUUAGAUAAAGCCAACGCUGGGUAAAACCAGUUUCCCUUGGUGAUUCAUAAUAAUUAAGCGGAUCGCAUGGCCUUGUGCUAGCGACAGUCCACUCGAUUUUCUGCCCUAUCAUGGUUGAGAUUGUAAGAUAGAGGCUUACAAUGCCUACAACGGGUAACGGGGAAUUAGGGUUCGAUUCCGGAGAGGGAGCCUGAGAAACGGCUACCACAUCCAAGGAAGGCAGCAGG
rnacentral:rRNA from 1 species